UGGGGAAUUUUGGACAAUGGGCGAAAGCCUGAUCCAGCAACGCCGCGUGAGUGAUGAAGGCCUUCGGGUUGUAAAGCUCUGUCAGACGGAACGAAUAAGGGUGACCUAACACGUCAUCCCCUGACGGUACUGUCAAAGGAAGCACCGGCUAACUCUGUGCCAGCAGCCGCGGUAAUACAGAGGGUGCAAGCGUUGUUCGGAAUUACUGGGCGUAAAGGGCGCGUAGGCGGCCCGCCAAGUCCCGUGUGAAAGCCCCCGGCUCAACCGGGGAACGGCGCGGGAAACUAGCAGGCUUGAGUUCGGGAGAGGGAAGCGGAAUUCCGGGUGUAGCGGUGAAAUGCGCAGAUAUCCGGAGGAACACCGGUGGCGAAGGCGGCUUCCUGGACCGACACUGACGCUGAGGCGCGAAAGCUAGGGGAGCAAACGGGAUUAGAUACCCCGGUAGUCCUAGCCCUAAACGAUGAGCACUGGGUGUAGAGGGUAUGAACCCCUUCUGUGCCGAAGCUAACGCAUUAAGUGCUCCGCCUGGGGAGUACGGUCGCAAGGCUG
rnacentral:rRNA from 1 species